GUCAGCCCUGGAGACAGGGAAGAAGGACUUCGAUCAUUGACAACUGAAUCGGCAGAAAUACAAGAAGAGGGCAACGCAGGACCGGGGGAACCCGGAGAAUGCGAGUCAACAAGCUUUUUGGAGCAAGGGCGAAGAGUAAGCGUUCAAGUGACAAAGGGCAGACGGGGAAUGCCUAGGCAGCAGAAGGCGAAGAAGGACGUGGCGAGCUGCGAAAAGCUUCGGGGAGCCGCUCACAGGCGUUGAUCCGGAGGAAUCCGAAUGGGGGAACCCCACUGGGGGAAUGCCCAGUGAGCCUUGCCUGAAUUCAUAGGGCAAGGCGGCAAACCCGGGGAAGUGAAACAUCUCAGUACCCGGAGGAAAAGAAAUCAAACGAGAUUCCCCAAGUAGUGGCGAGCGAAAAGGGAAGAGCCCAAACCACCGGUAUGCAAGGUCAAAGCCGUUGUACCGGCGGGGUUGUUGG
rnacentral:rRNA from 1 species